rnacentral:rRNA from 1 species
GAUGAACGCUGGCGGCGUGCUUAAUACAUGCAAGUCGAGCGAAGCACUUUAACGGAAUUCUUCGGAAGGAAGGUAAAGUGACUGAGCGGGCGUAGGGCGAAGGACGCGUAGGUAACGUGCUAUACAGGGAUACAGUAGAAUGGCUGCUAAUACCGCAUAAGCGCACAGGACCGCAUGGUCUGGUGUGAAAAACUCCGGUGGUAUAAGAUGGAUCCGCGUCUGAUUAGCUGGUUGGUGGGGUAACGGCCCACCAAGGCGACGAUCAGUAGCCGGACUGAGAGGUUGAACGGCCACAUUGGGACUGAGACACGGCCCAG